UCAAUUUUUAUUAUUUUUUAAUUUGUUUCAUCUUGUAAUUGAAUGAAAUACAAAUUUACUUACAUUUUGUUUUGAUUUGAUAAUUGAUACAUGCCUAAUAAAAGUAACUACAGUUAUUUAAGUUUUCUUAUCAUCAGAUCUUUUUGAGAAAUACACACACAAACACACAGAUAUAUGUGUGUGUGUUUGUUUGUGCGUUUUAUAAAUUUAAAGAGCUAUUGCAACUUGAUGUAAUGGUAAAUCACUAU
rnacentral:lncRNA from 1 species